CGGAAAGAAGACCAGGACACAAGUUUUAUCACGCGGGUGGAUAUGCUCCUGUUUUUCUCUGCGGCCGCCCCGCCCACCCACUUCCUUCGCCUGCGGUCUGAGCGGGGGUGGAGGGGACUCCCAGGCUGCAUGCCGACCCUGGAGUCACCUUGGCAGCGAGGCUGGCAUUUCUUCUGCCCCCGCCCCACCGCCGUGGCCGCGCUGGGCACUGGGCACCUGGCACCAGAGUGGACGCGGCUCCAGGUGCGGCUGUAAGUGGAGAGGCCUGGAUGGGACGCAGAGGGUGACCCCCGGGGACCUCACCCCCCCUUCCCCAUCCUCCCACCUUCAGGGUCCCCAGACUCGCAGCGUGGGAGGAGAAGUGGGCGCCCCCGCCCAUCCCCACCCCCCAACACAGAGCUCUCUAAGCCCGGGGCUCAGAGUCCACCUGGAAGGACAGGGCGUGGGCGGCGUCCAGCCCAAGGGCAGUCCAGACCUGGAAUCUCGCGCCUGCACUGUGGAGAAAGGCUGCCCGGACACCCAGGACUUACUGUUAACCACCAAAACCACUGAAGGGCAACGUGUAUGAGGUUCCAUGAUAAAAAUGGAUCUUCUU